ACGAACGCUGGCGGCAGGCCUAACCCAUGCCAGUCGAGCGAGGACUUCGGUUCUAGCGGCGGACGGGUGAGUAACGCGUGGGAAUGUGCCCUUCUCUACGGAAUAGCCCUGGGAAACUGGGAGUAAUACCGUAUACGCCCUAUUGGGGAAAGAUUUAUCGGAGAAGGAUCAGCCCGCGUUGGAUUAGGUAGUUAGUGGGGUAAUGGCCUACCAAGCCGACGAUCCAUAGCUGGUUUGAGAGGAUGAUCAGCCACACUGGGACUGAGACACGGCCCAGACUCCUACGGGAGGCAGCAGUGGGGAAUCUUAGACAAUGGGGGCAACCCUGAUCUAGCCAUGCCGCGUGAGUGAUGAAGGCCUUAGGGUUGUAAAGCUCUUUCAGCUGGGAAGAUAAUGACGGUACCAGCAGAAGAAGCCCCGGCUAACUCCGUG
rnacentral:rRNA from 1 species